UAGGGAAUCUUCCGCAAUGGGCGAAAGCCUGACGGAGCAACGCCGCGCGAGUGAUGAAGGUCUUCGGAUCGUAAAACUCUGUUAUUAGGGAAGAACAAAUGUGUAAGUAACUAUGCACGUCUUGACGGUACCUAAUCAGAAAGCCACGGCUAACUACGUGCCAGCAGCCGCGGUAAUACGUAGGUGGCAAGCGUUAUCCGGAAUUAUUGGGCGUAAAGCGCGCGUAGGCGGUUUUUUAAGUCUGAUGUGAAAGCCCACGGCUCAACCGUGGAGGGGCAUUGGAAACUGGAAUACUUGAGUGCAGAAGAGGAAAGUGGAAUUCCUUGUGGAGCGGUGAAAUGCGCAGAGAUAUGGAGGAACACCAGUGGCGAAGGCGACUUUCUGGUCUGUAACUGACGCUGAUGUGCGAAAGCGUGGGGAUCAAACAGG
rnacentral:rRNA from 1 species